AAAAAAAAAAUCAUUCAUUCACUGGAAAUUGUAUAUCAAAAACAAAAGACAAGAGUCAUCAAACUAUUCUUUUUGACUCUCUUCUAUAGGAUUUAGGAGCCCUAAACUCCCCAGGAGCUUCACUCUUUCCAAUUUUUUUUUUUACAGAAAAUCUACAUCCAAGUCAUUCUGGUAAUAAGGUUCUUGCUUGGUUCUGCAAUUCUGGCCACGCUCAGAAGAAAGACUCUUGUGUCUGAAUUCCUGCCUCUGCUCUGAGUCCCCCAUGCCACACCCCGCUGUGCUCUAUGGUGUGUGCCUUUGAUGACAGUCGGGAAGAAGAAAGUACUUAUUCAUCACAGCACCCCCUGAAAGACUGCCAGGAACUUGUGAAAUAACAAUGGAAAGCCCCAGGAAUCACAGCUGCAGCUGGGCUCUCCAUCCCACUGCCUGGAGUUGGGGCCUUCAGGGCUGCUGUGGGCAGACCCUUCUGGUCAGGUGUUGAAGAGGGACAAGCAACGGUGAGAACUCAGUUUGGAGUCAGUCUGGGCUCCUUGUCCUGGACAGAGGUAACAGUAGGAGUGAUUGAUGUAACAAAUGCAUCAAACUGAUGAGACUGCCUGUGUAAGCCUGUAUCUUCCAUUUGAGCCCCAGUGAAUAUUCCCCAUCCUGGGGAACCUUGUUGCUUUGCCCAGGGGAAAUUCUCAGAACCUAUGUCAGGCCAGGCUGGAGGACUAAACUUUGUAAGUAUAUGCCAGGGGCUAUUCUAAGUGUUUUCACGCAGCCCUGUACGUAUGACACCAUGCCAGUUUUACAGCAGAGGUACCGAGGCAUGGAGCAGUGAAGAAUCUUGCCCAAGGUCACAUAGCUUACGAGGAAAGGGAAGCCUCUCAGUGUAUAACUCAAGGUAAUGUGUAAAAACAAUGCUUUUACCUGUUCAGGCAGGAGCUCUCCCUCAUAACUUACCAGUCCGCCUGGGGCUCCAUUGGCUCACCUGGACCAGGCCAGUGUGUGGCAGCCUUAGCUGUAGAUUGCUGGGGCCACACCUCCUGGCUUGAGCCCCCAUUGAAGAAGGUGAGCCAGUUGUUCAUUUAUCAUAGUUAAGGACUUCCAACUGCCCAGCCUCCUGCUGGACAGGAAACAGAACUCACCUGGAUUCCGACAUCAUUCUGCUAAGGACAUACCCAGGGACAGCUUGCCCUCUCCACUCCAGCCUCUUUAAUAACCAGGACUAGAGUGUCAUCUACUUCGGAAGGGCUCAUUCACCUUGCUGAUACCCUCUCCCCGCCCCCAAUACUGUGGAAAUGAGUGUUGUUUGUUCCCAACAAUAUUCGGCUUUGGGAGAA